UACAGAGGUCCCGAGCGUUGUUCGGAUUCAUUGGGCGUAAAGGGUGCGUAGGUGGCGCUGUAAGUGGGGUGUGAAAUCCCGGGGCUUAACCCCGGGACUGCAUUCCAUACUGCGGUGCUUGAGGACUGGAGUGGAGACUGGAAUUUACGGUGUAGCAGUGAAAUGCGUAGAGAUCGUAAGGAAGACCAGUGGCGAAGGCGGGUCUCUGGACAGUUCCUGACACUGAGGCACGAAGGCCAGGGGAGCAAACGGG
rnacentral:rRNA from 1 species